rnacentral:lncRNA from 1 species
GAUUCUGGAGCUGAACCUGGGGCUUGGACCAACUUCUGCCAAAGUCCAAGGCUGCAGCCACCCAAAGGCGCAGUUCCAUUAUCCUCAGGGCAGUUUUCCCUUCAGGCAGCUGUAAGGCGUCUAGAAUUCAUCCCAGGACACCAUCACUGCCUGUUCCUCAAGACUUUCUCCUGUGGAACAGCGUCAGGGCAUUGCUCUCUCUCUCUCUUUCUCUCUUUAAUUUACUCUCUCUCUAUUUUCCCAGCUGUAACAGAGGAAGAUCUCUUUUGAAACAGCGUGUUCUCUGGAUCCCCUUUGCUGCCCCUCCUUCUGCUGCGCGGGACCCUCCUGGACUGGCACUACCUUGCAGGCCCAGACAUUCCUGGAAGAAUCUACUUCAGUGAUGUUUCAGGAGGAAAUGGACAAAUGAGAACAUCCCAAAAGGCAAGGCCAGGGCCACAGAAGACAUGGCGGAGGGAUUGCCUUCCUUCCUUUCCUUAUUUAACAAAGAAAUAUUAAAUUAGGAACAACUCUUUGCAGCUUAUUGAGUUGCUAACUGACAUGAAGUGUUGAAGAAAGUCCUGAAUAGAUUAUCAGUUCCUGAAACAAACAGUAUCAACAAGGCUCAUUGUCAUCACAAGAGAGAAACGAAUCAGUUCCCGGAUGUUCCUGGAUCAUAUAUCUGCCUCUGGAUUUAAGAAUUCUUGAAGUUCUGGAGCUACUUGAUUCUCUUUGUUUGAAGAGUGAAAUACCAAUAUAUUUCUUUUUAAUACUUUACAGUUUUUUUUUUAUUUUUUUUUAUUUUA